AGGUGCACGCCACCAUGCCCGUCCAAUUUUUUGUAUUUUAGUAGAGAUGGGGUUUCACUGUGUUGCCCAGGCUGGUCUUGAACUCCUGAGCUCAGGUAAUCCACCUGCCUCAGCCUCCCAAAGUGCUGGGAUUACAGAUGUGAGCCACCGUGCCUGGCAGGAAUUACUGUAGUUACCUUUUGUGUAGUUGCUGAAAUUUAUUAUGGAACCCAAACAAAAAUAAUCAUGAGAUUAAAUUUUUAUGUUAGCUGUUUGGUGCAUUUAAUUUUUUUUUUCUUGUUUUAAAUAAAGGUGGACCCCCAAAAGUACAAGGGCAUAUUUAACGGAUUCUCAGUUACACUUAAAGAGGAUGGUGUUCGUGGUUUGGCUAAAGGAUGGGCUCCGACUUUCCUUGGCUACUCCAUGCAGGGACUCUGCAAGUUUGGCUUUUAUGAAGUCUUUAAAGUCUUGUAUAGCAAUAUGCUUGGAGAGGAGAAUACUUAUCUCUGGCGCACAUCACUAUAUUUGGCUGCCUCUG
rnacentral:lncRNA from 10 species